rnacentral:rRNA from 1 species
UACGUAGGAUGCAAGCGUUGUCCGGUUUUAUUGGGUUUAAAGGGUGCGUAGGCGGCCUAUUAAGUUAGUGGUGAAAACGUUCGGCUUAACCGGAUACCCGCCAUUGAUACUGAUAGACUUGAGUGCGACAGAGGGUGUUGGAAUGUGUGGUGUAGCGGUGAAAUGCUUAGAUAUCACGCAGAACACCAAUUGCGAAGGCAGAUGCCUAUGUCGUAACUGACGCUGAGUCACAAAAGCGUGGGGAGCAAACAGG